rnacentral:rRNA from 1 species
CACAAGCGGUGAGCAUGUGGUUUAAUUCGAAGCAACGCGAAGACCUUACAGUCUUGACAUCCCGAUGCUAUUUCUAGAGAUAGAAAGUACUUCGGUACAUCGGUGACAGGUGGUGCAUGGUUGUCGUCAGCUCGUGUCGUGAGAUGUUGGGUUAAGUCCCGCAACGAGCGCAACCCCCUAUUGUUAGUUGCCAUCAUUCAGUUGGGCACUCUAGCGAGACUGCCGGUAAUAAACCGGAGGAAGUGGGGAUGACGUCAAAUCAUCAUGCCCCUUAUGACCUGGGCUACACACGUGCUACAAUGGUCGGUACAACGAGUUGCGAGUCGGUGACGGCGAGCUAAUCUCUUAAAGCCAAUCUCAGUUCGGAUUGUAGGCAGCAACUCGCCUACAUGAAGUCGGAAUCCGCUAGUAAUCGCGGAUCAGCACGCCGCGGUGAAUACGUUCCCGGGCCUU